rnacentral:rRNA from 1 species
GACGAACGCUGGCGGCGUGCCUAAUACAUGCAAGUUGAGCGCUGAAGGUUGGUACUUGUACCAACUGGAUGAGCAGCGAACGGGUGAGUAACGCGUGGGGAAUCUGCCUUUGAGCGGGGGACAACAUUUGGAAACGAAUGCUAAUACCGCAUAAAAACUUUAAACACAAGUUUUAAGUUUGAAAGAUGCAAUUGCAUCACUCAAAGAUGAUCCCGCGUUGUAUUAGCUAGUUGGUGAGGUAAAGGCUCACCAAGGCGAUGAUACAUAGCCGACCUGAGAGGGGGAUCGGCCCCAUGGGAACUGAGCACCGGCCCAAACUCCUACGGGGGGCAGCAGUAGGGAAUUUUGGGCAAUGGACGAAAGGCGUACCGAGCAACGCCGCGUGAGUGAAGAAGGUUUUCGGAUCGUAAAACCCUGUUGGUAGGGAAAAACGUUGGGGGGGGGGGAAAGCCAAUCAAGGGACGGAAACAACCCAGAAAGGGACGGCUAACUACGU